UUAUUUAACUUGGUUAGUAAGUGCUUUCACUAUAAGAUAUUUUCAGAAAAAAGAAAAAUAAUAUUUUCACUAUAGUUAUGUAGUUAAUCAUUCGGUUUAAAAACCUGAAAAAUAUAUCUGGCAAACUUCUGGACAGAAUUAUAGCGCCUCCCGCGAAGGGAAACGAAAAGCGCAAAGACAGGCGAAAAGCGGUAGGGUGGUGGGGCGUGUGACGAGUAGGAGGGGCGGUUGAAAAUGGAAAACACAUAAAAUUAACAUACACACAGAGGAGCAAGAACAAGAACAACAGCAACAACAACGAUGCCGGCAGACGAUGAGCGAAUGCGACAGAACGAAUGGCGAAGAAAACGAAAAGAAGACGAAGGCGAAAGGCGGCCGCAAACAUUUGAGGUUACGUUUUCAGCGAGAAGAAUGCGAGUGGGUCGGUUUUUAUUAUUUUUUUUUUUUUGGUUGUUUACGAGAAUCUUCAUCUCUCCUUUACUCCCUUUUUUCGCUCCCCACAAAACGCCUCUCUUCGCGGAGAGACAAGUGCAGCAUGCGAAAAGGGAUAGAGAGACAGAGAGAGAGCGAACGCUGGGCCCCUGGAAACACGCACACACCCACACGCACGCUCGGGAAUAUAAAAACAAACAUAAAGAUAAACCAUAAAAGAGAUGGCUGACAAAACAAAGGAGGCGCGGCCAAUAAAUAGUUAAAAAUUAAACGCAUUGAAUUGUUUAAUAUUUUAGUUGGCACUUAGGCAUUCUUAUUGGGAAAAGCACGUAUAUACAAAUGCAAGGCGUCCCGUGAGAGAAAGAGAGAGCACGCACUCACACACACUCAUAUAUAUUGAAGAGGAAGGAAGCGGGGGAGCCGGGGAGAAGGAAGAAGCAGAGCAGCCAAAUGGCCGCCGCUCAAAAGGAAGAACACGAUGGAAUAAGGAAAUAAUGAAGCACACACACGCACAAUCGGAAAAAUUUGUUCACCAACAAAAAAAUCAGGAAUCAUCACCAUGUCAAUUAUUCGGCACACACGUUUAAUUGAUUUUUACCUUUUUCGGUCAAAAUACUAAGAAAAUUCGCAAACUAUUUAUACAUGUUUUCAUAUAUGUAUGUACAUACAUAUAUACAAAAAGCGGUCUGGAAAUACACACAUACACAUGCCGCUGUAGUCGAAAAGGAAACCCGCUGAUGACAAUGUAAAACGAAACAGGAGUACUUUACGGUUUUUUAGUUUUUUUUUUUAUCCAAGCACUUACACAUGCACUUAAAAAAGCCUUCGCAUCUGCAUUUCCUCUGAUGGAUGAUGAAGAAGAAAUCGGCCAGGAAUUUCUUCAACGUCGCCGCCGUCCGUCGCAGAACGAUAAUAAAAGCGAAA